rnacentral:tRNA from 1 species
GGGGGUAUAGCUCAGUGCUGCAGCGUGUGCUUAACAUGCAUGAGGUCCUGGGUUCGAUCCCCAGUACCUCCG